rnacentral:rRNA from 1 species
GACGAACGCUGGCGGCGUGCCUAAUACAUGCAAGUAGAACGCUGAAGUGAGGAGCUUGCUCUUCUUGGAUGAGUUGCGAACGGGUGAGUAACGCGUAGGUAACCUGCCUUGUAGCGGGGGAUAACUAUUGGAAACGAUAGCUAAUACCGCAUAACAAUGGAUGACACAUGUCAUUUAUUUGAAAGGGGCAAUUGCUCCACUACAAGAUGGACCUGCGUUGUAUUAGCUAGUAGGUGAGGUAAUGGCUCACCUAGGCGACGAUACAUAGCCGACCUGAGAGGGUGAUCGGCCACACUGGGACUGAGACACGGCCCAGACUCCUACGGGAGGCAGCAGUAGGGAAUCUUCGGCAAUGGGGGCAACCCUGACCGAGCAACGCCGCGUGAGUGAAGAAGGUUUUCGGAUCGUAAAGCUCUGUUGUAAGUCAAGAACGGGUGUGAGAGUGGAAAGUUCACACUGUGACGGUAGCUUACCAGAAAGGGACGGCUAACUACGUG